AUACGUAGGGGGCAAGCGUUAUCCGGAUUUACUGGGUGUAAAGGGAGCGUAGACGGCAAAGCAAGUCUGAAGUGAAAGCCCCGGGCUCAACCCGGGAAUUGCUUUGGAAACUGUUUAGCUGGAGUGCAGGAGAGGUAAGCGGAAUUCCUAGCGUAGCGGUGAAAUGCGUAGAUAUUAGGAGGAACACCGGCGGCGAAGGCGGCUUACUGUACUGUAACUGACGUUGAGGCUCGAAAGCGUGGGGAGCAAACAGGAUUAGAUACCCUGGUAGUCCACGCCGUAAACGAUGAUUACUAGGUGUUGGUUGUCAUAGACAAUCGGUGCCGCAGCAAACGCAAUAAGUAAUCCACCUGGGGAGUACGUUCGCAAGAAUGAAACUCAAAGGAAUUGACGGGG
rnacentral:rRNA from 1 species